rnacentral:rRNA from 1 species
UUGGGGGCCUUUGGGAGGCAGCAGUAGGGAAUCUUCCGCAAUGGGCGAAAGCCUGACGGAGCAACGCCGCGUGAGUGAUGAAGGUCUUCGGAUCGUAAAACUCUGUUAUCAGGGAAGAACAAACGUGUAAGUAACUGUGCACGUCUUGACGGUACCUGAUCAGAAAGCCACGGCUAACUACGUGCCAGCAGCCGCGGUAAUACGUAGGUGGCAAGCGUUAUCCGGAAUUAUUGGGCGUAAAGCGCGCGUAGGCGGUUUUUUAAGUCUGAUGUGAAAGCCCACGGCUCAACCGUGGAGGGUCAUUGGAAACUGGAAAACUUGAGUGCAGAAGAGGAAAGUGGAAUUCCAUGUGUAGCGGUGAAAUGCGCAGAGAUAUGGAGGAACACCAGUGGCGAAGGCGACUUUCUGGUCUGUAACUGACGCUGAUGUGCGAAAGCGUGGGGAUCAAACAGGAUUAGAUACCCUGGUAGUCCACGCCGUAAACGAUGAGUGCUAAGUGUUAGGGGGUUUCCGCCCCUUAGUGCUGCAGCUAACGCAUAAGCACUCCGCCUGGAAG